rnacentral:rRNA from 1 species
UACGAAGGGGGCUAGCGUUGCUCGGAAUUACUGGGCGUAAAGCGCACGUAGGCGGCUUUCUAAGUCGGGGGUGAAAUCCUGGAGCUCAACUCCAGAACUGCCUUUGAUACUGAGGAUCUUGAGUUCGGGAGAGGUGAGUGGAACUGCGAGUGUAGAGGUGAAAUUCGUAGAUAUUCGCAAGAACACCAGUGGCGAAGGCGGCUCACUGGCCCGAUACUGACG